rnacentral:rRNA from 1 species
UACGUAGGGUGCGAGCGUUAAUCGGAAUUACUGGGCGUAAAGGGUGCGCAGGCGGUUGAGUAAGACAGAUGUGAAAUCCCCGAGCUUAACUCGGGAAUGGCAUAUGUGACUGCUCGACUAGAGUGUGUCAGAGGGAGGUGGCAUUCCACGUGUAGCAGUGAAAUGCGUAGAUAUGUGGAAGAACACCGAUGGCGAAGGCAGCCUCCUGGGACAUAACUGACGCUCAGGCACGAAAGCGUGGGGAGCAAACAGG